rnacentral:lncRNA from 1 species
CGUAUUUGUGUUUGUUACUAUAAUUUUUUUAACUAAGUUAAAGAAUAUUCUUUUGUUUUACCCUUUCUCUAUUCUUGGGCUGAGCAACGAUGUUGGAGAGAGCAGACAAGCUGUGGAAAAUGAAUGGGGUAAGGACACCAUCCUUGGCAAAACAUAUAAUAAUGUUCAGCAUCACUAGAUUUAUAAGCAUUGCAACAAAGAGUAUAGAGGGUUUUGAAGCGUCGCCGGGCAUAUUUGGGGCAAAUCCUAAGUCACCAAAUUGCUUUGUGUGAGGCUAUGCCGAGUUGCAAUUGCUCCACAUCACUGAGUUCUGCUCAAAUUAUCUUUUGGAUAAGUCUUCCAAAAGACUUCUUAGUUCUUAUGCUCGGCUACCCAAAUGCCAAAAAGGGAACUACCUACUACAAGAUCAAAUGCCCAAAUGUUGCAUAGGGACAUAGAGAGUAGAGGCAAUGGAGAAUCUAUGAGGCAAUCCUCUUAGGGAAGCUCUAUGUACUCAAUUGGAAGUGCAACUUUUGAUGGCCAUUUGCCUACAAACAUACAGUUUAUUGCAAAUGUCAAGUUGGGGCAUUUAGGAAGCAAAACUCAAAUGACUCUCAAAUAGUUCUUUGAAAAUCAAUAUCACCAAAAUGCAAACAUGACUAUGAGGAGGUUCAUCUAUGCUCAUGCUCUUCCUUUUAACAUAAUCUGUUCACCUUUUUGGGAAGACAUAGUGGAUGCUUUAC